UACGAGGGGGGCGAGCGUUGUUCGGAAUUAUUGGGCGUAAAGGGCGCGUAGGCGGCGCCACAAGUCACUUGUGAAAACUCUGGGCUCAACUCAGAGCCUGCAAGCGAAACUGUGGUGCUGGAGUAUGGGAGAGGUGCGUGGAAUUCCCGGCGUAGCGGUGAAAUGCGUAGAUAUCGGGAGGAACACCUGUGGCGAAAGCGGCGCACUGGACCAUAACUGACGCUGAGGCGCGAAAGCUAGGGGAGCAAACAGG
rnacentral:rRNA from 1 species